rnacentral:piRNA from 1 species
UUCACCACACCACACUGAGUGAGGGCAGU